rnacentral:rRNA from 1 species
AUGGUGAUCUUAUCAACCUUGGAAUCACUUCCAACUCACAUCAUCACCUCACCCUUAACUAGUAUCUGUUUAUUUUGCAACUCCCAUUUCCAGUUACUACUCUUAGCAACUGAACUAGUAUCAAAUACCAAGGGGUUUGCUAUAAACACUAGUAAAGUACACAUCAAUAACAUCUAUAUCAAAUAUACCUUUGUUCACUUUGCCAUCCUUCUUAUCCGCCAAGUAUCUAGGGUAGUUCCACUUCCAGUGACCAUUUCCUUUGCAGUAGAAGCACUCAGUUUCAGGCUUGGGUCUACCUUUGGGCUUCUUCAUGGGAGUGGCAACUUGUUUGCCAUUCUUCUUGAAGUUACCUUUCUUUCCCUUUGCCCUUUUCUUGAAACUAGUGGUCUUGUUAACCAUCAACACUUGAUGCUAUUUCUUGAUUUCUACCUUCGCCGAUUUCAGCAUCGCGAAGAGUUUGGGAAUUACUUUCGUCAUCCCUUGCAUAUUAUAGUUCAUCACUUUCGGAUUUCGGGUUCUGGCAAAACCCUCAAGGUUCGAACACUGGGGUGCGCACGAAGAUCUCCCCUGACCAACUCACGCCCUCAACCUCGCCAUGAUCUCAAAGGCAAGCUCGACGAACUCGCAACACAAGAGACACAAGAUUUAUACUGGUUCGGGCCACAGUUGUGGUGUAAUACCCUACUCAAGUUGAUUUGGUGGAUUGCCUCUUGGGCUGAGGAUGAACAAUACAAGGGGAAGAACAGCCUCCUGAGGAGAGGUGUUCUUGUGCUUGGUGGGUGUGAGGAUGGGUUGGAUCUAAUCCAAGAUGAGAUGGCUGAGGCUCUGUUUGUUCGCCCCCUUGUUCCUUUCUUCGUCCCCCCUAUUGUGGUGGCUGAUCCUAUUUAUAGAGGCCCUGGUCCUCUCCCCAAAAAUUAA